rnacentral:tmRNA from 3 species
GGGGCCGUUUUGGUUUUGACAGCAAAGUUCUUUGUAAGUGUAAGCAUGUAGUGCGUUGCGUAAUCUGCACUUUAAUCUGGAAUGCGUAAACUUUAAAUGGCAAUACACAGUAUGCCAUGGCUGCCUAAUCAUUGAUUAGUUAGUCAUUUGGGCCGCCGGGCAGGUUCGCCUGUUACCAAGCCCCGCCGCCGACUCAAAAAAGAAACAGGAUGCUGCUGCAGAAUGAAGUGACUGUAGUAUAAGAAUAUUCUUCUAAGGAAAUGUUUGGUUUGUUAUGUUCCGGUUAUUUCCCUACAAUCAAUACAUAAAUAAACAUGUAGAAAGCUUAUGGCGAAUUUGUUUGGACACCGGUUCGAGUCCGGUCGGCUCCACAU